GAUGAACGCUGGCGGCGUGCUUAACACAUGCAAGUCGAACGGUGAAGCAGGAGCUUGCUCUUGUGGAUCAGUGGCGAACGGGUGAGUAACACGUGAGCAACCUGCCCCUGACUCUGGGAUAAGCGCUGGAAACGGCGUCUAAUACUGGAUAUGUGAUGUGACCGCAUGGUCUGCAUCUGGAAAGAAUUUCGGUUGGGGAUGGGCUCGCGGCCUAUCAGCUUGUUGGUGAGGUAAUGGCUCACCAAGGCGUCGACGGGUAGCCGGCCUGAGAGGGUGACCGGCCACACGGGGGCUGAGACACGGCCCAGACUCCGACGGGAGGCAGCAGUGGGGAAUAUUGUACAAGGGGCGGAAGCCUGAUGCAGCAACGCCGCGUGAGGGAUGACGGCCUUCGGGUUGUAAACCACUUUUAGCAGGGAAGAAGCGAAAGUGACGGUACCUGCAGAAAAAGCACCGGCUAACUACGUGCCAGCCGCCGCCGUAA
rnacentral:rRNA from 1 species